AACGAACGCUGGCGGCGCGUCUUACGCAUGCAAGUCGAACGGCAAGAGAGGAGCUUGCUUCUCUCCUAGAGUGGCGGACUGGUGAGGAACACGUGGGUAAUCUACCCUUAAGAUGGGGAUAGCUGCUAGAAAUAGCAGGUAAUACCGAAUACACUCGGCAUAUCACAAGAGGUGUUGAGGAAAGGAAGCUACGGCUUCGCUUGAGGAUGAGCUUGCGUCCCAUUAGCUAGUUGGUGGGGUAAAGGCCCACCAAGGCGACGAUGGGUAGCCGGCCUGAAAGGGGAAGCGGCCACAGUGGGACUGAGGUACGGCCCAGACUCCUACGGGAGGCAGCAGUGAGGAAUAUUGCACAAUGGGCGGAAGCCGGAUGCAGCAACGCAGCGUGCGGUAUGACGGCCUUCGGGGUGUAAACAGCUUUCGCCUGUGACGAAGCGUGAGUGACGGUAAUGGGUAAAGAAGCACCGGCUAACUACGUG
rnacentral:rRNA from 1 species